GUCCCUGUAGCACAAUGAAUAGUGCGUUGGACUUCUGAUCCAAUGGUUGUGGACUCGAAUUCCACCUGGGAUG